GCAAAUCAAACAAUUAUAAUAAAAAUAAUUAUAAUAAUGUGGUGUAAACGUGAGUAAAAAUAAAGAAUAAUGAACUAUAAAUAUUAUUAAAAAUAAUAUAAGUCCCACCGACCCAAUACAGCUAAGCUGUCUUGGGUCGGCGGGGGAAUAAAUAAUAUAUAAUAUAAUAUAUAUAUUAGUUUUAUAGUCAAGCUUUAAAUGGUUUAAGGUAGUAGGUAUAGUAAGAGUUUACCUAGCCAACGAUCCAUAAUCAAUAAUUAACGUUAUAAUGAUCACGUUGAUUCUGAAACAUAAUCAAUAUCUAUAUGAUACAGCAGUGGGGAAUAUUAGACAAUGAUCGAAAGAUUGAUCUAGUCACUUAUUAGGAUGAUUUUUAAAAUAUAUUAAAUAUAUAUUUAUAUAUAAUAAUAUUAUAUAUAUAUAAUAUAUAAAUAAAAUAAAUAUAUAAAAAAUUAGAUUUAAAAAUAAAAUCCAUAUAUAAUUAAAUAAUGAUAUAAAUUACCUUAAUAUUUAAUUAUUUUUUUUUUCUUAAAAAAAAAGAAGAAUAAAUUAAUAGGAUUAUUAAUAAUAUUUAUUUAUUAAUUAAUAAUUAUAAUAGUCUUAACAAAUAAUUGUGCCAGCAGUUGCGGUCAUACAAUGAAGGCUAGCAUUAAUGAUAA
rnacentral:rRNA from 1 species